rnacentral:hammerhead_ribozyme from 1 species
AUCCAGCUGACGAGUCUUUAAUAGGACAAAACGCGCGUCAAACUGGAU